rnacentral:rRNA from 1 species
UGGGGAAUAUUGGACAAUGGGCGAAAGCCUGAUCCAGCCAUGCCGCGUGUGUGAAGAAGGUCUUCGGAUUGUAAAGCACUUUAAGUUGGGAGGAAGGGCAUUAACCUAAUACGUUAGUGUUUUGACGUUACCGACAGAAUAAGCACCGGCUAACUCUGUGCCAGCAGCCGCGGUAAUACAGAGGAUGCAAGCGUUAAUCGGAAUUACUGGGCGUAAAGCGCGCGUAGGUGGUUUGUUAAGUUGGAUGUGAAAUCCCCGGGCUCAACCUGGGAACUGCAUUCAAAACUGACUGACUAGAGUAUGGUAGAGGGUGGUGGAAUUUCCUGUGUAGCGGUGAAAUGCGUAGAUAUAGGAAGGAACACCAGUGGCGAAGGCGACCACCUGGACUAAUACUGACACUGAGGUGCGAAAGCGUGGGGAGCAAACA